rnacentral:lncRNA from 1 species
AUUCUCUCCCUGCACUAUCGUCGAGGAGAAACAGUUCAGCGUCCACCACAUGCCGAUCACUCACUGCUUUCUCCUUUUACAACCUCUGUAGGCCUCCUCGGUUGUUGUGGUUGCCAGAUCUGAGGGGGAAAAUCCCCCUUAAACGUAACCAGGCUGCUGACGGUGAAAUGGCUACCAGACCGGAGGAAAGGAAGGCAAGAAGGAGAGGAAGAGACGUGCGGCGCUUUGAUGGCGCUGUCGAGGACAGGCUGCGUGUGGCAUGCAUGUCUGACUCUGAGUGUGUACAUGAUUGUGUGUGUGUUUAUGAAUGUGUGUGUGUGUGUGUGUGCCUCGGUGUGGGUGAAUGUGAGUGUACUGUAUAUAUUGGUUUGCACGUUUUGUUGUCUGUCAUUCCGCCCGUGAGCGACCGCUGUUUACAUACACAAAGCUGAGCAGGGGUGGCACUGUGUGUGUGUGUGUGUGUGUGUGUGUGUGUGUGUGUGUGUGUAAGUGGGGAGGCAGGGGUGUUAGCAGUCCUUGGGUUUCAGCGGUUAACCCCUAAACUUUUUAUUUUUCAGAGGAGUCGGGGACCGGUGGAGGACGGUGGAGCGUCGGUUCUGGUGUGUGGGCACGCCGAGCUCUUUAUGGGCCGGCAACAAUCAGGAGGGGAGGAAGUGAAGGGUAAAUAGGAGUGGGAGGAGAGUGGGUAAGGAAGUGAAUGCCCCCCAAUACCCAACAUAACCCACCGAGGCCCCCCUCUGAAAAACACCCUCACACCACCACCACCACCGGAGGGAGAAGAGGAGGCUGCUGGACCACAGACCACCCAGAGAGACGGAGACAGACACAGACAUGAAGACAGAGACAGACAGACGGCUGGAGAGCAAAUUUAAAGAAAUUAAAAAACAAUGAAAAAUCUGCCAGAAAGAAAUAUGAUGCAUGGAAAAUAUAAUGACUAACAAAGAAGAGGAACCAGGAAAAAAUGAACGGAAAAAAUUCUUUGGUUUUUUUCUCCCCAAUAAAAAUAAACAUAUUUGGAAAAGAAAAUCAUGAUUUGGAAAGAAAAGGCGU